GACGAACGCUGGCGGCGUGCUUAACACAUGCAAGUCGAACGAUGAAGCUGGAGCUUGCUCUAGCGGAUUAGUGGCGAACGGGUGAGUAACACGUGAGCAAUCUGCCCUUGACUCUGGGAUAACUGCGGGAAACUGUAGCUAAUACCGGAUACUUUCACCGGGGGGCAUCCUCUGGUGAUGAAAGAAUUUCGGUCAAGGAUGAGCUCGCGGCCUAUCAGCUUGUUGGUGAGGUAACGGCUCACCAAGGCGACGACGGGUAACCGGCCUGAGAGGGUGACCGGUCACACUGGGACUGAGACACGGCCCAGACUCCUACGGGAGGCAGCAGUGGGGAAUAUUGCACAAUGGGCGCAAGCCUGAUGCAGCAACGCCGCGUGAGGGAUGAAGGCCUUCGGGUUGUAAACCUCUUUUAGCAGGGAAGAAGCGAAAGUGACGGUACCUGCAGAAAAAGCACCGGCUAACUACGUGCCAGCAGCCGCGGUAA
rnacentral:rRNA from 1 species